GAUGAACGCUGGCGGCGUGCCUAAUACAUGCAAUUCGAGCGAACAGACGAGGAGCUUGCUCCUCUGACGUUAGCGGCGGACGGGUGCGUAACACGUGGAUAACCUACCUAUAAGACUGGGAUAACUUCGGGAAACCGGAGCUAAUACCGGAUUAUAUAUUGAACCGCAUGGUUCAAUAGUGAAAGACGGUUUUGCUGUCACUUAUAUAUGAAUCCGCGCCGCAUUAGCUAGUUGGUAAGGUAACGGCUUACCAAGGCAACGAUGCGUAGCCGACCUGAGAGGGUGAUCGGACACACUGGAACAGAGACACGGUCCAGACUCCUACGGGAGGCAGCAGUAGAGAAUCUUACGCAAUGGGCGAAAGCGUGACGGAGCAACGCCGCGUGAGUGAUGAAGGUCUUCGGAUCGUAAAACUAUGUUAGUAGGAAAGAACAAAUGUGUAAGUAACUAGGCACGUCUUGACGGUACCUAAACAGAAAGCCACGGCUAACUACGUG
rnacentral:rRNA from 1 species